ensembl:lncRNA
GUCAGGGUCAGCACAGAAGGGGCUGUACACCCUCUGCUUGGAAUGUGCCCAUCUCUGGGUAGUGGGGGAGGGCAGGAGACCUCUGCUGUCUCUUCUGGAAGCAAGGGCACGUGCCAUCCUGGCAGCUUUUGUCUGUCCCGCCACCCCCACGCUCAGGGGCAUUUCCUAAACUUUGAGCAGAUUUGGUGGAUUCCAGGUCCUCUUUGCAAGGCCAGAGCACAGCUUAAGAUCUCUUUCCUCCCAGCCUCCAGCACCCUCCUUUGCCCUCACCACCGAGCCCCAGCCCUCUACAGUCUGUUAUUUCCUUUUAUAUCCAAAGAAUUAUAAACAAAUCCUUCCCUCGAGGAAGGAGCAAUAAUGGCCACUGAGGUCACAAGGGACAGAAGAAAACCUCCCUGGUUCUCCAGCCUCCUGAACAGUAGCGGCCUCAGAUGAGGCAAAGAGAUGGUCAGGAAAGCCUCCCAGGGCCCUGUAUGAGGCCACAGAGCCCUCCUGGUGGCCGGGGACAGCUCUGGCAGUCGCCUGCGAGGCUGCAGCCCCAGCGAAGUCACUUCUGUGGCGGAGGAUGAAAUUGUAUCCCUAGAGACUGAGGUGUUGGGUGUCCUGUCCUGACCACACGGGUUGACCUGGAGGAAAGGAAGGCGUACAUUGUACCAGAUGUGCCCAAGGGUGGCUUGAACUUUUGCAGACAGACAUUUGGUUCACAGCCAUGAAGAUGGGCUUUCACCAGAGAAGGAAAUCUCAGGCUGCUGGGUCUGGUGGACUCCUUGGCAUGCUGGUCCAGAAAGCGUGGUGUUCACUGUGAAGGUGGCCGCUGUAUCCAGCAGGUGAUGAAGCUGACACCAUCGCCAGAACCAAGAACCGGAAUCUGUUCCAAAGAGCAAACUCAAUCCCUCAGACAAAGAAGCAAGAGCAAGAGGGAGUGGUCCUGCCCUCACCCUUCUCCGGACACACAGCUCCCUAAGGCCAAGGCACUGAGCAACGAAGGAACAGGGUAGUUAACCCUCUGCCCCCAGGUCGGUGCACACCGUGCUGGCUGUUGUGGCCAGUCCUGCCUGGGAUCAGAACCACAGGCCGUGAAGACUUAACAGUAACCUUGGCUGUUCAAAGGGGAGCCCAGAAGGUCAGGACCGUCCACCAUGAGAGUGGAGUGUGGGGACUACCCUGGACUUAUUAUGGUGAGGAAGAAAUAAAAAAAUCCAAGAGCCCCCAAACGGGGCAGUCCAGGC